rnacentral:rRNA from 1 species
UACGUAGGGGGCAAGCGUUGUCCGGAUUUAUUGGGCGUAAAGAGCGUGUAGGCGGCCAGGUAGGUCCGUUGUGAAAACUCGAGGCUCAACCUCGAGACGUCGGCGGAAACCCUCUGGCUAGAGUCCGGAAGAGGAGAGUGGAAUUCCUGGUGUAGCGGUGAAAUGCGCAGAUAUCAGGAAGAACACCCGUGGCGAAGGCGGCUCUCUGGGACGGUACUGACGCUGAGACGCGAAAGCGUGGGGAGCAAACAAG